rnacentral:rRNA from 1 species
CAUGGCCUUUUGACUAUAAUUUAAGGUCUAAUCUGCUCAAUGAGGAGUUAAAUUGCCGCGGUAUUUUGACCGUGCGAAGGUAGCAUAAUAAUUAGUUUCUUUAUUGGAAGCUGGAAUGAAUGAUUGGACGAGAAAAUUACUGUAUCAACUUGAUUUUUUUUGAAGUUAACUUUUGAGUUAAAAGGCUCAAAUUUUAUUGAAAGACGAGAAGACCCUAUAGAGUUUAACAUUGUUUUUUAUUAAAAGUUUUUGGUAUUUAUUGUUUUAAUUUUUAUAUUUGUUUAGUUGGGGUGACUAGAAGAUUUAAUUAACUCUUCUAAUUAUUUUGUUACUGAUUAGUAAUUGUUUAAUCUAGAAUUUCUAAAUUUAAUAUAAAUUACCUUAGGGAUAACAGCGUAAUUUCUCUUUAGAGUUCUUAUUGAAAGGGGAGUUUGCGACCUCGAUGUUGGAUUAAAAUUAAUAUUGGGUGCAGAAGCUCAAUUAUUAAGUCUGUUCGACUUUUAAAAUUUUACAUGAUCUGAGU